AUUGAACGCUGGCGGCAGGCCUAACACAUGCAAGUCGAGCGAGCGGCGGACGGGUGAGUAAUGUCUGGGGAUCUGCCCGAUAGCGGGGGAUCACUACUGGAAACGGUGGCUAAUACCGCAUACUCUUGUAGCGGCCGAUAUCGGAUUAGCUAGUUGGUGGGGUAAAGGCGCACCACGGCAACGAUCCGUCGCUGGUUUGAGAGGACGACCAGCCACACUGGGACUGAGACACGGCCCAGACUCCUACGGGAGGCAGCAGUGGGGAAUUUUGGACAAUGGGGGAAACCCUGAUCCAGCCAUCCCGCGUGUAUGAGAAGGCCUUCGGGUUGUAAAGUACUUUUGGCAGAGAAGCGGUAUCUGCAGAAUAAGCGCCGGCUAACUACGUGCCAGCCGCCGCGGUAAUAC
rnacentral:rRNA from 1 species